CUCGUAGGCGGCCAACUAAGUCGGACGUGAAAUCCCUCGGCUUAACCGGGGAACUGCGUCCGAUACUGGAUGGCUUGAGAUUGGGAGAGGGAUGCGGAAUUCCAGGUGUAGCGGUGAAAUGCGUAGAUAUCUGGAGGAACACCGGUGGCGAAGGCGGCAUCCUGGACCAACACUGACGCUGAUGAGCGAAAGCCAGGGAGCAAACG
rnacentral:rRNA from 1 species